GCCUGGGUGGCUCAGUGGGUUAAGCAUCUGACUUCAGCUCAGGUCAUGAUCUCACAGUCUGCGAGUUCAAGCCCUGCAUCAGGCU
rnacentral:tRNA from 1 species